UACGAAGGGGGCUAGCGUUGCUCGGAAUCACUGGGCGUAAAGCGCACGUAGGCGGAUUGCUAAGUCAGGGGUGAAAUCCUGGAGCUCAACUCCAGAACUGCCUUUGAUACUGGCGAUCUCGAGUCCGGGAGAGGUGAGUGGAACUGCGAGUGUAGAGGUGAAAUUCUUAGAUAUGACACAGAACACCAAUUGCGAAGGCAGCUCGCUAAACUGUAACUGACGCUGAGGCACGAAAGCGUGGGGAUCAAACAGG
rnacentral:rRNA from 1 species